AUUGAACGCUGGCGGCAUGCUUUACACAUGCAAGCCGGACGGCAGCACAGAGAAGCUUGCUUCUUGGGUGGCGAGUGGCGAACGGGUGAGUAAUAUAUCGGAACGUACCGAGUAAUGGGGGAUAACUAAUCGAAAGAUUAGCUAAUACCGCAUAUUCUCUGAGGAGGAAAGCAGGGGACCUUCGGGCCUUGCGUUAUUCGAGCGGCCGAUAUCUGAUUAGCUAGUUGGUGGGGUAAAGGCCUACCAAGGCGACGAUCAGUAGCGGGUCUGAGAGGAUGAUCCGCCACACUGGGACUGAGACACGGCCCAGACUCCUACGGGAGGCAGCAGUGGGGAAUUUUGGACAAUGGGCGCAAGCCUGAUCCAGCCAUGCCGCGUGUCUGAAGAAGGCCUUCGGGUUGUAAAGGACUUUUGUCAGGGAAGAAAAGGCUGUUGCUAAUAUCAAUAGCUGAUGACGGUACCUGAAGAAUAAGCACCGGCUAACUACGUG
rnacentral:rRNA from 1 species